GCCAUAUCACGUUUAAACAUCGGUUCCCGUACGAUCACCGAAGUUAAGGAACAUCGAAUCUAGUCAGUGCCUAGAUGGGUGACUACUUGGAAAUACCACGUGCUGUAA